AAUGAACGCUGGCGGCAGGCCUAACACAUGCAAGUCGAACGGGUCCUUCGGGACUAGUGGCGGACGGGGGAGUAACGCGUGGGAACGUGCCCCUUGGUACGGAAUAGCCCCGGGAAACUGGGAGUAAUACCGUACGUUGUCGAGAGACGAAAGAUUUAUCGCCAAGGGAUCGGCCGGGGUUGGAUUAGGUAGUGGGUGGGGUAAUGGCCUACCAAGCCGACGAUCCAUAGCUGGUUUGAGAGGAUGAUCAGCCACACUGGGACUGAGACACGGCCCAGACUCCUACGGGAGGCAGCAGUGGGGAAUCUUAGACAAUGGGGGAAACCCUGAUCUAGCCAUGCCGCGUGAUCGAUGAAGGCCUUAGGGUUGUAAAGAUCUUUCAGGUGGGAAGAUAAUGACUGUACCACCAGAAGAAGCCCCGGCUAACUACGUGCCAGCCGCCGCAGUAACAC
rnacentral:rRNA from 1 species